rnacentral:misc_RNA from 1 species
UCCGGUUUGUCACCGGCAGUCUCACUAGAGUGCCCAACUAAAUGUAGCAACUAGUGACAAGGGUUGCGCUCGUUGCGGGACUUAACCCAACAUCUCACGACACGAGCUGACGACAGCCAUGCAGCACCUGUGCCCAGAUUCCUUGCGGCACUCCCACAUCUCUGCAGGAUUUCUGGCAUGUCAAGUGUAGGUAAGGUUUUUCGCGUUGCAUCGAAUUAAACCACAUCAUCCACCGCUUGUGCGGGUCCCCGUCAAUUCCUUUGAGUUUUAAUCUUGCGACCGUACUCCCCAGGCGGUCAACUUCACGCGUUAGCUUCGUUACUAAAAGGUUACCCUUCCAACAACCAGUUGACAUCGUUUAGGGCGUGGACUAC